rnacentral:rRNA from 1 species
UAACGCGUGGGAAUCUGCCUAUCAGUGGGGAAUAACGACGGGAAACUGUCGCUAAUACCGCAUACGCCCUUCGGGGGAAAGAUUUAUCGCUGAUAGAUGAGCCCGCGUACGAUUAGCUAGUUGGUGAGGUAAUGGCUCACCAAGGCUACGAUCGUUAGGUGGUCUGAGAGGAUGAUCAGCCACACUGGGACUGAGACACGGCCCAGACUCCUACGGGAGGCAGCAGUGGGGAAUAUUGGACAAUGGGCGAAAGCCUGAUCCAGCAAUGCCGCGUGAGUGAUGAAGGCCUUAGGGUUG